UCAGGGAUGUGGCCAUAGAUUUCUCUCCGGAGGAGUGGGAAUGCCUGGACCCAGCUCAGCGGAAGUUGUACAUGGAUGUGAUGUUGGAGAACUACAGCAACCUGGCUUCCCUAGUGUGUCCUGAGCACAGGUCAAAGGUGCAAUGUUUUGGUAUGAGGAUCACAUUCUAAACAACUGAGCUCUUGGGCAAGCUAUGUCACCUAACGAUAACCAGGCCUUUAUGCCAAAGCCCGGAAUACAAGAUUUAUUCUGUGAAAUAAUACUGGGGAAGAGGCGGUGUCUUGGAGGAAACCGGAGCCCAUGGUGACCCCUUGUGACCAGGUUUCGAACGUUGGGGAUCCAAAGGCAGCCUGACUGGGGCUGGCAUGGAUAUGCUGGUAGAAGAUGGUGUCUGCAUUCCCGCAGUAAGUGGAAGUGCAUGGCCUUGAGGUAGCACUGUCCAAGUUUUCUCUUGGAGUAGUAUUUCUCUUGCUGAGCAAUAGUCUAUUCAUCUGUUUCUCCAGAAGUUCAGUGAUAAGCUCUGCUAGCCUCUCCUUCAUCCUGUGAAAAUCAGUUAGUUUAUUUUCCAAUAACUUUUUGCGUUCCAUUUCUUCUUGGCAGAGUCGCACAUAUUUUUCCAAUUCUCUUUUGAUACCAUCUUGAGAAGUUUGCACUUUGGAGAUUUCUGAUUCCAGCUCUUUAUUUCUGGCUUCCAAAGGACUUCUUAUUGAAGCCUGAUGAUUUAUCAUCUGCGCUGACAUUUCUUGAGAUGCUCUUUGUAUCUGUAAAAAUGAAUUGAUUUGUUCUCCAGUGUCUGCUACAUCCCGUCUUGCUUUUUCAUCAGUCUUCUUUUUCUACUUGUCUGCUUCACAGAUUUCUAUCCUAUUCGUUUCCAUAUAUGUUCUGAGAUUUACUGGUUCUUGUUCCCACUUCUGUGCUGUAUUCUUUAGUUCUUCACAUUCCUUUAGAAAUGCUUCCACUGCUAAAUGCUGAUGAGGUGUCUUUUCUUUAAGCAGAUGUAUAGAUUUUGAAGAUGAAGGUUGUACUUUUGCUAUAAGAACAUCAUUAACCAUGGGUUCACCUGGCUGGGGAGACUCUUCAUCUUCUCCUAGGAUUCUUUUCCAGAAGGAUGUUGCUCUUAAACGCCAAAUCAUAUUUACCACAGUUCAGUCACAAUGGGAUAACCGUUGUGAUGGAGUAAAACGGCCGCCUCUCCUCCCUUCUCCCUGCAGAACGCUGGCAGCAGGGCACAUGCACUGCAACGGACUGGGCUGAAGUGUGCAUGCCCGGUAAUGGACUUAGUCCCCAUUGGGCUUGCACAGUCACUUGGGCCAUGCAGUGAGGCUUGUCAUUUUCUUUUCUUUUUUAUUUCUUAACUCUUUCUUGACUUUGGCAAAUUAAAAUAGAAUAAGUUAACAAGUAUUUUUUUCAAAAAAAUGUUUUGUUCAAAAAUACUGUCAAAAAUUCCUAAAAAGCUUUCAGUACUGAAUAUAACUAUUAGCACAGUGUCAAAAAUGUUGAAUAGGGAAACAAAAUGAAAAUGUGUGGUCCUGCAACCUGGCCUUCCUGUGCCAUCACCAGGGACAUCUGGGAGACAAAGAGGAGGAGGAGGCAAGGCUCCAGGGAGCUCCCCCCCCCCUUCUUUUUAUUAACACAAUUUGUCCUGAGAUGAGGCAGAGAUAUACACUUCAAAGGGUCAGGGUUUCCUACAGAGUCCGUUGUCAGAAUGGGGGAAUUACCCUACGGCUGUUCAGGUGUUUGGCCUGUACGAAGCAAUAACAUAAAGAUUAAGAUGCCCUGGGCUGUCUGGCAGCCACGAAUCAAUUUCAUAUAUCCUAUUCAGGUUUGGGGAAAUGCCCUCAGCUAUUCCCAGUUGCAGCCCUGCUGUCAUGCUGGAAUUGGUCUCCAGCAAUACUCCAAACUUUAAAUGUAGUUAGGUAAUAUUUGUAUACUUGAAUAUAUUAAAAGAAUUGAUGUUUCCAUAUGUACAAUUAUCUUAGACUAUUCUUUAUAUUGAAAUCACUUGAAGUCUUCUGAAAAGAAAAUAUUAAUGUGAUUUUUAUUUCCAUAUCACUUGAUGUUGCUAUGUUUUAUGCCUGGUGUGUAUGUGAGUGAAAUCAUCGGGUUGAUUGUUUCUGUCUUAAAGAUCUGUGACCUGUGGUAUAUUAUAUGGACUUCCCUUGUGUACACUUUUUCAUGGAAUAAUGUAUACAUUGUAAGAGGCAGUAUUUUCUUCUAUUAGAGAAUCAUGCUAUUGAAUAAA